rnacentral:rRNA from 1 species
AUUGCACGCUAGCGGGAUGCCUUACAAAUGCAAGUCGACCGGAGUGGCGAACGGGUAGUUAAUGUAUCGGAACUUGCCCAGUAGCGGGGGAUAACUCCGCGAAAGCGUAGCUAAUACCGCAUACUAUUGGAGCGGCCGAUAUCGGAUUAGCUAGGUGGUGGGGUAACGGCUCACCAAGGCGACGAUCCGUAGCUGGUUUGAGAGGACGACCAGACCCACUGGGACUGGGACACGGCCCAGAAUCCUACGGGAGGCAGCAGUGGGGAAUUUUGGACAAUGGGGGAAACCCUGAUCCAGCCAUCCCGCGUGUGCGAUGAAGGCCUUCGGGUUGUAAAGCACUUUUGGCAGGAAAGCGGUACCUGCAGAAUAAGCACCGGCUAACUACGUGCCAGCAGCCGCGGUAAUUC